CCCUUAGAUGUUCUGGGCCGCACGCGCGCUACACUGAUGCAUUCAACGAGCCUAUCCUUGACCGACAGGUCCGGGUAAUCUUUGAAUCUGCAUCGUGACGGGGAUAGAUUAUUGCAAUUAUUAAUCUUCAACGAGGAAUGCCUAGUAGGCGCAAGUCAUCAGCUUGCGUCGAUUACGUCCCUGCCCUUUGUACACACCGCCCGUCGCUCCUACCGAUUGAAUGGUUCGGUGAAGAUCUCGGACUUCGAUAUUUGUUCUUCAUUGAACUUAUAUAGUGGGAAGUUAUCUGAACCUCAUCAUUUAGAGGAAGGUGAAGUCGUAACA
rnacentral:rRNA from 1 species